rfam:Schistosoma curassoni strain Dakar, Senegal genome assembly, scaffold: SCTD_scaffold0000593
AUCCAGGUGACGAGUUCCAAAUAGGACGAGGCGCAUGUCCUGCAU